rnacentral:rRNA from 1 species
GAUGAACGCUAGCUACAGGCUUAACACAUGCAAGUCGAGGGGAAACGAUGAUAGAGCUUGCUCUCUUAGUCGUCGACCGGCGCACGGGUGAGUAACGCGUAUCCAACCUGCCUCUGACCAAGGGAUAACCCGUCGAAAGUCUGACUCAUACCUUAUGCAGUCGUCGGAAGUCAUCUGAUGACGACGAAAGAUUUCAUCGGUGAGAGAUGGGGAUGCGUCUGAUUAGCUUGUUGGCGGGGUAACGGCCCACCAAGGCGACGAUCAGUAGGGGUUCUGAGAGGAAGGUCCCCCACAUUGGAACUGAGACACGGUCCAAACUCCUACGGGAGGCAGCAGUGAGGAAUAUUGGUCAAUGGGCGUAAGCCUGAACCAGCCAAGUAGCGUGCAGGAUGACGGCCCUAUGGGUUGUAAACUGCUUUUAUGCGGGGAUAAAGUGAGGGACGUGUCCUUCAUUGCAGGUACCGCAUGAAUAAGGACCGGCUAAUUCCGUG